rnacentral:rRNA from 1 species
GAUGAACGCCGGCGGCGUGCCUAAUACAUGCAAGUCGAGCGGCAGCACGGUCUUCGGACUGGUGGCGAGCGGCGGACGGCUGAGUAACGCGUAGGAAUAUACCCCAAAGUGAGGGAUAACUGCCCGAAAGGGUGGCUAAUACCGCAUGUGGUCUUCGGACUAAAGCCUUCGGGCGCUUUGGGAAUAGCCUGCGUAAGAUUAGCUAGUUGGUGAGGUAAUGGCUCACCAAGGCGACGAUCUUUAGCUGGUCUGAGAGGAUGACCAGCCAGACUGGAACUGAGACACGGUCCAGACUCCUACGGGAGGCAGCAGUAGGGAAUUUUCCACAAUGGGCGAAAGCCUGAUGGAGCAACGCCGCGUGCAGGAUGAAGGCCCUCGGGUCGUAAACUGCUUUUAUGUGCGAAGAAUAUGACGGUAACACAUGAAUAAGGGUCGGCUAACUACGUGCCAGCAGCCGCGGU